GUAGUCUCGCAUAGAUGCAUAUCAAUAAGCGGAGGAAAAGAAACUAACAAGGAUUCCCCUAGUAACGGCGAGUGAAGCGGGAAGAGCUCAAAUUUGAAAUCUUCAAGGGUUUACCUUUACGAAUUGUAGUUUAAAGAAGUGUUUUCUGUUGAGGUUUUGGUAAAAGUUCUUUGGAAUAGGACAUCAUAGAGGGUGAGAAUCCCGUAUUUGACCUUUACUUUCAACUUUGUGAUACACUUUCAAAGAGUCGGAUUGUUUGGGAAUGCAGUCCAAAAUGGGUGGUAAAUUUCAUCUAAAGCUAAAUAUUGGCGAGAGACCGAUAGCGAACAAGUACCGUGAGGGAAAGAUGAAAAGAACUUUGAAAAGAGAGUUAAACAGUACGUGAAAUUGUCAAAAGGGAAGCGUUUGACACCAGUGUUGUUUUUCUGAAAAUCAAUUAAAGAACUGUUUAUGCUAAGUUGUUUAGACUUUAUCAGCUAUCUGUUUAGUUUUGAGCUUUUCUUUAAUGCACUUUUCAGUUAACAAGUCAACAUCAAUUUCUUUUGCUGUAAAAAAGCUUGAGGAAGGUGGCUUGAGAUUCGUCUUAAGUGUUUAUAGCCUCUUGCCUAUGCAGUCGGAGAGAUUGAGGUCUGCAGCGUAGAUCCUUCGGGGCUAAAUGCAUUUGUGCUAAGUUAUAGCAUUUUAUAGACAACUUGUUGACUAUGAUUUGUCUUGUAGCUUACUCGCUUAUGUUAUUUUACCUACGCUUAGGAUGUUGACAGCAGUAUAGACUGU
rnacentral:rRNA from 1 species